rnacentral:rRNA from 1 species
GACGAACGCUGGCGGCGUGCUUAACACAUGCAAGUCGAACGCUGAAGCUUGGUGCUUGCACUGGGUGGAUGAGUGGCGAACGGGUGAGUAACACGUGAGUAACCUGCCCUUGACUCUGGGAUAAGCCUGGGAAACUGGGUCUAAUACUGGAUACGACAUGUCACCGCAUGGUGGUGUGUGGAAAGGGUUUUACUGGUUUUGGAUGGGCUCACGGCCUAUCAGCUUGUUGGUGGGGUAAUGGCUCACCAAGGCGACGACGGGUAGCCGGCCUGAGAGGGUGACCGGCCACACUGGGACUGAGACACGGCCCAGACUCCUACGGGAGGCAGCAGUGGGGAAUAUUGCACAAUGGGCGGAAGCCUGAUGCAGCGACGCCGCGUGAGGGAUGACGGCCUUCGGGUUGUAAACCUCUUUCAGCACGGAAGAAGCGAAAGUGACGGUACGUGCAGAAGAAGCGCCGGCUAACUACGUG